GUUUGCCUAAACUCAAACAUCUUCGCCAUUGUUCUUAGAAUCAGUCAACGUCAUCACCCUUGUUACUUGCUCGAAUUCAGUAACAGAAGAGCCACAAAUUAAUAUGAUAUCAUUUUCUUUGAGAAUCUGAAACAUUAUUAAGUCAACACAAAUUGUUGAGAUUCUAAUAGUACGACGGCUUGUUCUUCUUCGCCGAGUUUCUUUAGCCGUUGAUAUGACCGCUGCAACAUCACUUCGGUCCUCAUGAAUCUACUCAUCUCCACAGCUCGCUCCUACCUCCGACGUCUCAGUCAGUUGCAACCACAGCUUCCAUCUUCCUUUUCUCUGAAAUUUCCGAUUCA
rnacentral:lncRNA from 1 species